CCUUUCUAGAGCAUUCUUAUAUUUCCAUGACCCUUUUUCCUUUUCACGCUUAAACUUUACAGCAGAGUCGGGAGUCGGGAAUAUUCUCUCUUUUGAACUACUAUGCAUUGCAAACAUGUAACUGCAAUCUGUAAUCACAUAACCUUGAGAAAACCAUACGUUGCCGGAGGUUUGAUCACUAAUCUUGUCACACCUCACUCGUAAAUUUUAGCUGCCUCGACAAAAAGUAUGGUGAGCAAAAUAGCCACCACAAGUUUGAUAAGAUUUGGUAAGAAAAUGAUUCUAUGACAUGUGAACUAUAUGGCUCAAAAAUGUGUGAAUGAAUCAAACAAAUGUCUAAAAUAUUGUGACAUGCCAAAGCAGGACCGGCCUAAGCCAGAGCAAGAGGGACGACGGCACGGGGUCCAGCUGAUCUGAGGCCCAGUUUUUUAUUUUUUUUAUUUUGAGGAAUCUGAGGCUCGGAUGAUAGUGAUAGGUACAUGUAUUACUAGGAUACAAACCCACGGAAUAGAAAUACAGUAAGCCAGAACAAAUACUCAGGCCCAAAACUAUGCUGCUGCAAUCUUCUUCUGGCCAGCACAGGACAAUAAUCACGAUUUGUUUCGAGAAAAAAAAGUAAACGAUUUCUUAGCACGAAAAAAAGUAAUCAGAUCAAUGGGGAGUGGCUUCGUUCUACUCGAACGGAGGCUUCGUCUCCAAUUCAGUAUUUCCUUGGUUCGUUUUCGCAUCAUCGAUGGACCGACGACAGAGACACGGUGCAAGCUGUUUUUAUUAUUAUUAUCAACGCACCUACGGCCUGUGGCAGCAUCAUAAAAAAAUUCAUUCACAUGAUAGGUUAACAUGUCAUCUUUUUCUCUUUUUUCGCCAAUGAAAAAUUAUUAGUGUUGGCUUUACAUUGAUCUUGCUUGUUGAUUUUUUUUCAUCCACUAUAACCGUUGGAUCCGUUCUUGGAGUUCGCCUUAGUACAUGCGACACUACAGGACCGGCCAUUUGCCUAAGGCUUCGUUUGGAUGUAGAUAUUGGGAAGCAUGGAAUUGAAUUGAGCCGAAUACUAAUUCACCGAGGAAUCUGAAUUGGACCCAAAUUCCAAUUUUGUUGUUUGGUUGUUCAUUGAAUUGACUCAUAGAAUUCAAGCAAGACAUCAAUUCUAAUUCGUGUUUGGAUGGACAAACCAAGGAAUUGCACAUGUAUGUCAGUAUGCUGCAUCAACGAAAUUGGCAGCAUGAAUCUUUAUCUAUACCGGCUAACAACAUCACAACAAAGUCCAACAACACCUAAAAUGUUUCAAUCGGCAAUCAGAGGAGUAAAAUAGGGUUCUGGAGGAAGGGGAAAAUUGGGAAAGAUAACAAAUGCAAAUUAAAAAGAAACUUCAGUCGGAAGAGGAAGAAGAUUGGAUGCGGCUGGCCGAGGCAGGAGGAAGGAGAAGUUUUGGAGGCGGCGGAGCAUGGCACUGCCUUCUGUGGGAGGUCGCAAGGCACACGGGCGGGAGAGGCAGCGGCGGUGGAUGGAGCGAGAGGGGUAGCUCCGUGGCGGAUCUCUGCUGCUUGCAGGGAGAGGAAGCAGUGGCGGCGGAGGUCGGCUGCGUGGGAGAUGCGUGACGGAGCUCUGCAUGCUGGGAGAUGGAGAUGCCUAGGUGGCGGUGCUCUGCGUGCAGGGAGAGAGGCGACGGAGGAGGACCUCUGUGUACAGGGAGAGGCAGGGAAGAAGCACACGAGCAGGAGCGAGCGGGCCUGGACUCACUGUCGUGCCGCCGGUGACCUCCGCUUCGAGCUCGGCCCAAAUUCUUGCGAAUACAGAGGGAGGAGGCUCCGAAUUGGUUCGCGAAACCUACGCAUGUCCUCAAUUCCGUUCGGCAUUCAGUCCGAAUUCCACGCGUGAAUUCUGUACCCAUCCAAACACUGGAAUUGGACCUGAACAAUACCAAUUCCCAAUUCCAUGCCUGAAUGUCUUCGUCCAAACAUAGUGUAAGGUUAGAUGUGGCAAUGUUACUAAUCAAACAUGCUAUAGUAAGUUAACAGUUAGUCCAUGUGUUGCAUCGAGUGGUUACUUGUGUCCAGUUGAAUGUGAUCACGUUGCGUUGCCACUUGAUAUUAGAAUUAGUGGACCCAUUUCGGGCAAUCAUAUACACUCCCUCCGUCCCUCACUUAAUAUGGCAUGGAGGGAAUAACUAUUUUUAUGCGGGCAAUCUCUAUAGUAGUUCUUCGUGCAAUUCUUGACCCGUGUCAACAACUUACAUGCAAGCUUUGCAAUCGAGAAUGUCCGUUUUUCGAGGGCUCAGAUUUGUUGAUACUUCCUAAUACUCCAAUUGAUCUGUGUGGAGUAAUCGGAUGGAGUAUUCAGAAGUAAGGGCAAAGACGUAAUUUCGUCAGAUUUUUUCCCCCAAAAAACACAUGCGACCUGACACCGGAGGCCACCUCCCGCUGCGCCUAUGUCACGAUGCGUACUCUGCUGGUGGAGGGCGGCUGCAGCGUGGUGGAGCCGUGGAGGGCGGCGUGGGCUGGGUGGAGGGCGGCUGCGACGCCCUGGAGGAGGGCGACUGGCGUGGAUGACAAUUGUGGAGGGCGGCUGCGCAUGAUGGGGCGAGGGCAAGGGAGUGCAGGGCGGAGGCAGCGGCGCAUGCUGGGCCGAGGGCUACGACGGCUGCGGCGGAGGAGGACAAGGACGGCGGGCCGGCAACACUCGGUGAGGAGGGAAAAGUGGUCGUGGGCUGGGAAGGCGGCGAAGGCGGCACGCGCGGCGAGGAUGGCGGCGAAUGCGCGGGCUGUGAAGGCAACAACGAUGGCCACGCUGGGAAGGCAGCGGUGUGCGGGGUGAGGACGGCGGCGGUCGAGCGCUGGGAAGUUGGCGCGCGCGGCAAGAACGGCGGUGGCAAGUUUUGAAUGCUCAAGGAGCCACAUGUCAUGCUGGACACAAAGAAAUUGGAUAACCUCUCAUAAACCUCUCAUAGAUGUUUUGAAAAUCUUGUCACCGGAAAAAUAAUGAAACAUAAUUUAGACACACUAUUCAAAGAAUUGCUUUUCGAAAUACAAAAUCCGAUUCUACAAAAACAGAAACAAUGCACAUAUUGAGCGUGGCUUUUCAAUGUCUUGCUUUUUCCUUGAAAAAAAAAUUCUUGAAAAAGAAGACAUGUCCCCGAUCUAAUUCCAUGCUUUGCAGGUUUGCAUGAAAGUUGUGAACAACUAGAGAAGUCACAUGUCAAACAGGGGUUAGAAGAAGAUAUCUAGUGCUACCGGGGUACAGGUUGCUCCCAUAUGCUCCGCCCAUUUGACAGUUUUGCACUUACACCCUUUGGUUUUGUGUGAAUCAACCCUCGCUCCACCGCACUUUCUUCUUUCUCCUCAUGCCUCUCUCUCCCCCCCGGUGCCUCCUUCUCCCAGACUUCCCCACUUCCUGCCGCCCGGCCUCCUUCCCUCCGUGCCGCCUCCCUGCUCCGCGCACCGAGGUCGCCGGCACGCGCCUUUCAUUCCCUGUGGCCGUCUCCCUCUCGCCCCCGCCACCUCGGCCACGGGCGCCGCCGGUCCAGCCCGUAUCCGGUGCGCGGCCGCCCGAAUCCGCCGCCUCCUACCUCGCUCCUUCGUCCCGCACGCCUCGGCCCCUAAUGCCGCCGCCGCCGACCCAACAAGCAGCAGAUCGAGAGCGGCCAGCCACCGAUGCGCCUCCCCCUCCUGCACGGGCUGUCGCCGCCUGCCCCCGCGCGACCAGCCACCGACGCUGACGCCUGCCCUCGCGUGACCAGCCGCCAUCUCCUCCCGUGUGGGAUGCCGCCGCCUGCCCUCGCGGGACCAGCAGCCGCUGCCUCCCUUGCGGGCCGCUGCGGCGGCGCUCGGAUCUGCCUCACGCCCGGCCCAAUCCUCCGCCGCAAGAUGCAGUCGGCUUCGGUGAGAUGCGCCAAGAUGCAGUCUGCAAAGAGGAUGCUUUUCUUUGGAUUGGGUUGCAAUUUUGGAUUGAAAGAUUUGAUGUACCAUGAAUUGCAAUUUUGGAUUACAAGAUUUGGAUUGCAAACAAAUCUCAUUGAUAUCUCAUUGUUAUUUCUAUACAUAUACCAUUGAAAUCUAUGGUUUUGUUUCGUAUCGAUCGAAUUUCAAACAGAACUCGUUGAAAUCUCAUUGAAAAUUCAAAGAUACACCAUUGAAAACCAAAUGUGCAAUUAUAAUAUCAUUGAAAUUUCACAGAUGCGCCGUUGAAACCCCAAAUGUGCAGUUAAAAUCUCAUUGAAAUUUCACAGAUGUGCCAUUGAAAAUCCAAACGUGCAACUAAAAUCUCAAUGAAAUUUCACAGACGCACCAUUGAAAAUCCAAACAUGCAAUUGUUUCAUUGAUACGCAUUGAAAUUUCAUUGACAGGUCGUUUGAAAUUCCGUUAGCAUCAAUUGUUUCGAUGGUAUGAUAAUAAAAAAUUCGUUAGCUAGCACCAUUAACUGCAAAACCUAAGGGUGUAAAAUAGAAAAAUGACUAGAGAGAAGAGUGUGGCGAGGGUUUAUUCACACAAAACUUAAGGGGCGAAGUGCAAAACGGUCAAAUCCUCUAGUUAUGUUCCUUAGAUUCAGAUUGGAUAGACCAUGUUGCUCGGGAGUAUGGCACCGUGUGAGAGCACAUCAUGGCUUGGUAGUAGAGCUGCAAAUUUUUGACCCUCUUUAGUUCAACCAAAUGAACUCAAAAUUUAAAAUGACACAACUCUUUGAAAAACUAGUUCAUUUGUUUGAACUAACGAGGGUCAAAUGGUAUCCUGAGGAUCACCAUGUUGCACCUCUACUUGGUAGCACCAGACGGGGUUAGGACCCUUGGGAUGAUCUCUCCAACCGGCACUCUCUUUCUCUCUCUUUAGUAUUUUCGAUUGCAUAAUAGUGCAAGAACCACACCCAAAACUGCACGCCUUAACCAACGAAAACAAGAUAGUAACAUUCGAAUCCAUUAGCGGCAAUUCGACAAUUAAACAUGAGUGUAGCACGACAAAGAACCGAAUAAGGCGUGCGCCCUUGCGGAAGCUCGUUCUGUGGUAAGAAAACACCCGUGGGCAUGCGAUCCCUAAUUCUGAAGCAUAAAUCUGACUACUGAGUGCCUACGAAGUACAAUACUGUAAUAGCUAGGUCUUAAACCCGUUACCAUAGGAAGAUAGCCAAAAGUAUAAAUCUCCAAACACUUACCUGUCGACAACAUUUCGCCAAAUUGCACCUUUCCUUCAAUUGCCGCUGACGGAGGCGGCGGCGGCCGACGAACCUGGGCAGAAGGCGCAUUUGAACGACGCGGCUGUGCCUGUUGGAGUGCAACCCCGGGGGGAAGGUGGGGCUGCUGAUCGGGCGGUACUCCGGCACCAGCCGGCCGCUCCUGUACCUCAUGCCGCAAGCGUUGCACAGCAUGCGCCGACCCUCCGGCCCCUCGCACCACUACAGCGUCUUUGUCGCCUCGCAGUGCCGGCACUUCCGCUCACCCACCGCCCCAGGCCGCGGCGGGGAGCUCCACCGCGCUGUUCGAAGCAACGGGGGCUGGGGGACUCAUCCGUCGCUCGAGGCUCCUCCACCAGAGACGGCUUCGGCGCCAUCGUCUCCACCAACGGGAACGCGUCCUUGUCCACCAGCCACUCGAGCUCCUCCUCCUCCUUCCCCUCGCCAAUUCCCGCAGCCGUCACCUCUAGCCUCUGCAAGAAGUAACCUUUAAACCUCAAUUUUGGGACCGAUCGAGAACCGCAAAAACUCCAAACGAAAAGGUACCUCCAGGUCGAAGAAGACCUGGAGGUCACGCCGCUGAAGAAGAGAUCGUCCGCGACCGCGUCGCCCCGGAGACCGUCCACCAGCACCAUCGCCGCCGCCGUCUGCUUCUUUUUUCCCGGAAGGAGAAGGUGCACUGGUGCAGAAGGGGUUUCUUGUCGCGAACUUCUUUGUGUUGGUUGAUCUUGUCUUAGACCGAGUCAGAAGGGAUUAGGAUAAGGGUGGGGCCCACAAACAAACGUUCGUGGCCUUAUCCCAACGAACGAUAUGCACCGGGGGUGCCAAAACCAAUCGAUGGUUCUGGUCCCCUGUCGUGCAGUGCUAUAUAUAAAAAAGGAAAUCGGCAGCAGACGAGGGUGUGACUCUCGUUCUCGUUUCGCCCAUGAAAUCCCGAAACCCUAAACCCAAAACAGAUCUGGAAAAGCACUGUCUACUAGGGAAGACCCGAGCCUUCUGCUCCCGUUCCGGGGCAGUGCAGGAGGCGGCUACUUCCCCUACUUCCUCUGCGGCGUCGCCACUGCUCCAUCUCUCCACCGACUCCACUGCAAUGGCGUCCUCCUCCAUCGCACGUAUGAAUCACCCUAAUCUCUCUACUGUUAGUGCUCUAAAUAUUUACCAGUGCAUGUUUAGGCCUAGCCUAAUGAAUCUUAAGUUCUAACAAUGGUAUCAGACGCUUAAUCUGGUAAAAUUAGAGCCUAUUUUGUUCACUGGUUAAUCCUCCGAUUAGGGUUAAGAUUAAUAUUGCUUAAUUAUUUUCUGUCACUGCUAAUUGCACAUGAUUAAGGACUAAUUAGGGUUAGAUUAGCACUGGUUUUUUUCCUAAUCGGAUUUUUGGCCGUGGGUUUUCAUGGGUUUACUCAUGCUGUCACUUAGCAAGAAGAAGGAGGGGAAUAAAAAUGCAAACCCUAAAAGAAAAUUCCCCAAAUCCUGAACCCUAGAAUGCAAAUAAAAAAAAAGUUUCGGGAUUCGAAGAUCCACUUACCUAAUGGACGGUGGCUUUGCUCCUCGCUGUCAUCGCCUCAUGCUCCACCGCCGGCCGCCAGCCGCCACGAAUGGGCCGCGGCGUCGCCUAUCCUCCCCUUGGGGAGGAGCCGCAUGGCCUCACAGCCAUGCGAGGGCGCCGCUGCCGCCACCACGUCGCUCCGGCGCGUGGGGAAGCCACCGCCCUCGCUGACGCGUGGAUGGCCGGCCGGUCGCUGUCCUUUUCGCCGCUCCGCCCUCCACCCGCCCGAAAGAAAAGAUGGCGGCGGCGCCGGCGCUCGACGGAGGAGCGCGCGGGGCUUGGCCUGACGCGC
rnacentral:lncRNA from 1 species